AGUCUUAUAUUCAAUAAUGAUUAUAAAUUGCAAAUUUAUAGGUGGAUUCAUCCUAAGGCUU
rnacentral:tRNA from 1 species